UACGUAGGGUGCAAGCGUUGUCCGGAAUUAUUGGGCGUAAAGAGCUCGUAGGCGGUCUGUCACGUCGGCUGUGAAAACCCCGAGGCUCAACCUCGGGCCUGCAGUCGAUACGGGCAAACUAGAGUACUGCAGGGGAGACUGGAAUUCCUGGUGUAGCGGUGAAAUGCGCAGAUAUCAGGAGGAACACCGGUGGCGAAGGCGGGUCUCUGGGCAGUAACUGACGCUGGAGGAGCGAAAGCGUGGGGAGCGAACAGGA
rnacentral:rRNA from 1 species